GAUUCAUUUUAACGGCCGCGGUAUCUUAACCGUGCAAAGGUAGCAUAAUCAAUUGUCUCUUAAAUCGGGACUAGUAUGAACGGCACCACGAGGGUUUAACUGUCUCCCUAUUUUAAUCAAUGAAAUUAACCUUCCCGUGAAGAGCCGGGAAUAUAAUUAUAAGACGAGAAGACCCCAUGGAGCUUUAAACUUAUUGUCACUUAUUUAAUAGUACAACACACCACCAAAUAAGAAUGUCUAAUAGUUUUUGGUUGGGGCGACCCUGGAGAAAAAAUAAAUCCUCC
rnacentral:rRNA from 1 species